GACGCCAGUUAAAGCGCCGCUAGCCCAUGCUGAUGCACUAACAGCGCGCGACAUACUACAACCAAGCUCUUUACGAGAACCCGCAACGUGUUUUCGACGACUCCCAACACAUUGACGAGGCCCCCACCCUAUAUCGUCAGCGCGGAGCUCAUCGCGGCGGCGAAGACAGGUACAAUGGGCAGAUCAUCCCGACUAAAUGCUGUGGUAAAGGCAGAGUCAGUGGAGUGGCUCGAAGGGUGCUCAGCCUUCUCAAAAUACUUUGAAGAAUAAAUGUGCGAGUAUUCACAAAA